GUUUCCUAUAUAGUUUGAUACGUGAACAUCGUGUGCUUGUACUCCCUCAAUAGUUUGGGCACGUUUCAACCAGCUCAAUCCGAGCAGUUGCAGAAAACAUGGGACAUGAGAUGUAUGUGGCAGGGUCUACAGGAAAUCAAGGUGCUACAAGAAGAAAACCAGCCACGUCACGGACGCCGACAUUACGCUUCCAGACAAACUAAACACCUUCUUUGCCCGCUUUGAGGAUAAAACAGUUCCACCGUCCGUGGCCUGCUAACAAGAGCUGCAACCCUCUCCUUCUCCGGGGCCGGCAUGAGUAAAACAUUUAAACGGCUGCUGGCCCAGACGGCAUCCUUAGCCACGUCCUCGGAGCACGCGCAGACUAGCUGGCUGGUCCACAGACGAUGCAUUCGCCUGCACACUGCCCUAUCCCAUCUGGACAAGAGGAAUACCGAUGUAAGAAUGCUGUUCAUUGACUACAGCUCAGCAUUCAACACCAUAGCACCCUCCAAGCUCAUCAUCAAGCUGGAGGCCCUGGGCCUCAACCCCGCCCUGUGUAAUUGGGUCCCGGACUUUCUGACCGGCCACCCCCAGGUGGUGGUGAAGGUAGAAAACAACAUCUCCACCUCACUGAUCCUCAACACUGGGGCCCCACAAGGGUGUGUGCUCAGAACCCCCCCCCUUCCUGUACUCUCUGUUCACCCACAACUGUGUGGCCAUGCACACCUCCAACUCAAUCAUCAAGUUUGCAGAUGACACAACAAUAGUGGGCUUGAUUACCAACAACGGCGAGACAGUCUACAGGGAGGAGGUGAGGGCACUUGGAGUGUGGUGUCAGGAAAACAACCUCUCCUUUAUUUUGUUGACGCUGAGUGAGAUGAUUCCCCACCCCCCCCUAUCCACAUUGAAGGGGUAGCAGUGGAGAAAGUUUUAAGUUCCUCGGCAUACAGAUCAUGGACAAGCUGAAAUGGUCCACCCACACACAGUGUGGUGAAGAAGGUGCAACAGCGCCUCUUCAACCACAGGAGGCUGAAGAUAUUUGGCUUGUCACCCAAAACUCUGACUAACUUUUACAGAUCCACAAUCGAGAGCAUCCUGUCGGGCUGUAUCACAACCUGGUACAGCAACUGCUCUGCCCUCAACUGCAAGGCCCUCCAGAGGGUGGUGCGGUCUGCACAACGCAUCACCGGGAGCAAACUACCUGCCCUCCAUGAUACCUAUAGCACCGAUGUCACAGGAAGGCCAAAAAGAUAAUCAAAGACAACCACCUGAGCUACUGCCGGUUCACCCCGUUUACCAUCCAGAAAGUGAGACCAGAGCUGCAUCAACACACCGCACAAAGAGACCAACCCCAGACCCACUACAGACAUGAUCAUCAGACUGGGUAGGCUGACCCCUGGAUACUUCCGCCUCCUACAGAGACAGGUGGCCGGUGAGGUGCAGACCCAGCCGCAGGACCGUGCGGUCAACCAGAUAGCCAUGAUGCUGGCCAUCAUGGGCCUGAGCCUGUCCUACUACAGUGCCAAACGGAUGACCGAGAAGGUCCAGAGGCUCCAGAAGAGAAGAGAUCCCCAUACCCCCUGAAGAGACCCCCCCCCCAUGGAGAUGACUGUGUCGGUGUCCAGAACAACACCUUUUCACAACCAAUCAGUCGUAGUCACGUCGUUCAGACACUGGAGUUUUACUGGGAUCACUCUCAAUGCGAGGAGAAUUUGGGGGCUGCUACUGUUAAGGGUAUCUUAAUUUUUCACCCCAAUGGAUGUUGGGAGGACCUUGUGGGUCAAUUUUUUUUUUUUUUUUUUUGGGGGGGUGGUGGUGUAUGUGGGAAAGGCCCAUGGUGGGGUUUGUGUGGUCCUGAUAAAGUUUGGGGGGUAAAAAGUACAACCAGCUGUCUAUGGUCAGGCUGGGCCCCUGCUUCAGUCGUUGCCAGGGUACAUGCGUGCAGGAUGCCGUCAAUACUGUUCGGAGCUAAAAAGGGAUCGAGAAAUGCUUAACUGAAUAUUCUAAUGUACUGUGAAUCUUGCCAGUGAAUCUUUCCAACUAUAUGACAGUUUGUCUAAAAUAACUGAACAGUAAUUGUUUUUUAAUUAAGGGAAGGCUAUCUGCACUUGAUGUAUCUAGUAGUGACUGAAGGCGGGCCCGUAGUGUGGUUGAAAGUGGGAAGAUAGGAACCCUCUUAGGUUUUUUGUAAUUCCUUAUUGUUAAAAAAAUUUAAGUGAGCCAUGUGAACUAGAUGUGGAGGAGUCUCAAACUGGUCAAUAAUUCCACACAUGUUCAAUAUCUGUCAGACACAAACAACCGUACAUUACUGGUGAAAUUAAGUAUUUUAACGUUUUGGGAACUUGCUUAUCCAAAUAUAUGAAAGAAAGGCACUUCAAUCACAACUUUGUUUUUCACAAUGUUUCUAGAUUAAAGUCUUGAUAAAAAUGUGUGGCUUUCUUUAAAGAACUCGAUCUGCAAUAGCUACUAGGUGUUACCACAAAUAUUCUAACUUUAGUAAACGUUGCAUGGGUGUGCAGUUUUUAAUCUCUUCGUUAAUAUUGUCACAUUCAGUUUUUUAAAGGAUGAUAACCAUGAAUGUAUAUUUCUAUGAUGUUUUUAUAGAAAAGCUGUGACUUGAAUAAAGCUGUGAC